GAAAUGCGAUACUUAAUGUGAAACGCAAUCCAGUGUGAAUCAUCGAGGUUUCGAACGCAUAUUGCGCUCUCAGAGUCACCUCUGGGAGCAUACCUGUUUGAGAAUCGUCUAAUCUGUCCACAUCCUACACACACACUCAAAUGCGUGUAGGGUGCGGGAGUUGAGAGCUCUCAUCCCACCAGGAUGAGUCUCUUAAAGUAGCGAACCGCAUUAUGGCUCUGUGGCCACCCUCUCCGCAGGGAGUAGGCAAUGUGUCGGGUACCGAUGUGUCGGAGUGAUUUAUCACUACAACGAUGUCAUUGGGAGGAGCACUGCCUCGCCUGCAACGGUGGGUAAGAUGCGUGUAGAAUAUUUAUAUCACAAUUGCGAUCUCAAAUCAGGCAAGAGGACCCGCUGAACU
rnacentral:misc_RNA from 1 species